GACGAACGCUGGCGGCGUGCUUAACACAUGCAAGUCGAACGGAAAGGCCCUGCUUUUGUGGGGUGCUCGAGUGGCGAACGGGUGAGUAACACGUGAGUAACCUGCCCUUGACUUUGGGAUAACUUCAGGAAACUGGGGCUAAUACCGGAUAGGAGCUCCUGCUGCAUGGUGGGGGUUGGAAAGUUUCGGCGGUUGGGGAUGGACUCGCGGCUUAUCAGCUUGUUGGUGGGGUAGUGGCUUACCAAGGCUUUGACGGGUAGCCGGCCUGAGAGGGUGACCGGACACAUUGGGACCGCGAUAAGACACAGACCCCAACGGGAGGCAGCAGUGGCGAAUAAUACACUAUGCACGGGAGCCUGGUGCAGCAACGCCGCGUGGGGGAUGACGGCCUUCGGUUUGAAAAGCGCUUUCGCCUGUGACGGAACGUGAAUGACGGUAAUGGGUAAAGAAGCACCGGCUAACUACGUG
rnacentral:rRNA from 1 species